AGAAACCAACAGGGAUUGCCCCAGUAACGGCGAGUGAAGCGGCAACAGCUCAAAUUUGAAAUCUGGCUUCGGCCCGAGUUGUAAUUUGUAGAGGAUGCUUUUGGUGAGGUGCCUUCUGAGUUCCCUGGAACGGGACGCCAGAGAGGGUGAGAGCCCCGUAUAGUCGGCCACCGAUCCUCUGUAAAGCUCCUUCGACGAGUCGAGUAGUUUGGGAAUGCUGCUCAAAAUGGGAGGUAUAUCUCUUCUAAAGCUAAAUAUUGGCCAGAGACCGAUAGCGCACAAGUAGAGUGAUCGAAAGAUGAAAAGCACUUUGAAAAGAGGGUUAAAUAGCACGUGAAAUUGUUGAAAGGGAAGCGCUUGUGACCAGACUUGUGCCGGGCUGAUCAUCCAGUGUUCUCACUGGUGCACUCGACCCGGCUCAGGCCAGCGUCGGUUCUCGCGGGGGGAUAAAAGCUUCGGGAACGUGGCACCUCCGGGUGUGUUAUAGCCCGUUGCUUAAUACCUUCGCGGGGACCGAGGUUCGCGCUCUGCAAGGACGCUGGCAUAAUGGUCAUCAGCGACC
rnacentral:rRNA from 1 species